GACGAACGCUGGCGGCGUGCUUAACACAUGCAAGUCGAACGGAAAGGCCCUGCUUUUGUGGGGUGCUCGAGUGGCGAACGGGUGAGUAACACGUGAGUAACCUGCCCUUGACUUUGGGAUAACUUCAGGAAACUGGGGCUAAUACCGGAUAGGAGCUCCUGCUGCAUGGUGGGGGUUGGAAAGUUUCGGCGGUUGGGGAUGGACUCGCGGCUUAUCAGCUUGUUGGUGGGGUAGUGGCUUACCAAGGCUUUGACGGGUAGCCGGCCUGAGAGGGUGACCGGCCACAUUGGGACUGAGAUACGGCCCAGACUCCUACGGGAGGCAGCAGUGGGGAAUAUUGCACAAUGGGCGGAAGCCUGAUGCAGCAACGCCGCGUGCGGGAUGACGGCCUUCGGGUUGUAAACCGCUUUCGCCUGUGACGAAGCGUGAGUGACGGUAAUGGGUAAAGAAGCACCGGCUAACUACGUGCCAGCAGCCGCGGUGAUACGUAGGGUGCGAGCGUUGUCCGGAUUUAUUGGGCGUAAAGGGCUCGUAGGUGGUUGAUCGCGUCGGAAGUGUAAUCUUGGGGCUUAACCCUGAGCGUGCGUUCGAUACGGGUUGACUUGAGGAAGGUAGGGGAGAAUGGAAUUCUGGUGGAGCGGUGGAAUGCGCAGAUAUCAGGAGGAACACCAGUGGCGAAGGCGGUUCUCUGGGCCUUUCCUGACGCUGAGGAGCGAAAGCGUGGGGAGCGAACAGGCUUAGAUACCCUGGUAGUCCACGCUGUAAACGGUGGGUACUAGGUGUGGGGUCCAUUCCACGGGUUCCGUGCCGUAGCUAACGCUUUAAGUACCCCGCCUGGGGAGUACGGCCGCAAGGCUAAAACUCAAAGGAAUUGACGGGGCCCCGCACAAGCGGCGGAGCAUGCGGAUUAAUUCGAUGCAACGCGUAGAACCUUACCUGGGUUUGACAUGGAUCGGGAGUGCUCAGAGAUGGGUGUGCCUCUUUUGGGGUCGGUUCACAGGUGGUGCAUGCCUGUCGUCAGCUCGUGUCGUGAGAUGUUGGGUUAAGUCCCGCAACGAGCGCAACCCUUGUUCACUGUUGCCAGCACGUUAUGGUGGGGACUCAGUGGAGACCGCCGGGGUCGACUCGGAGGAAGGUGGGGAUGACGUCAAGUCAUCAUGCCCCUUAUGUCCAGGGCUUCACGCAUGCUACAAUGGCUGGUACAGAGAGUGGCGAGCCUGUGAGGGUGAGCGAAUCUCGGAAAGCCGGUCUCAGUUCGGAUUGGGGUCUGCAACUCGACCUCAUGAAGUCGGAGUCGCUAGUAAUCGCAGAUCAGCAACGCUGCGGUGAAUACGUUCCCGGGGCU
rnacentral:rRNA from 1 species